rnacentral:snoRNA from 1 species
ACCUGAUGAACAACUAGAUGACGAGUCUGAUUUACAUUCGUAAUGCGGACACCCUUUUUUUUAUACCAUUCAUGCAACACUGAAC